rnacentral:rRNA from 1 species
UACGGGGGGGGUAAGCGUUGUUCGGAAUUACUGGGCGUAAAGGGCUCGUAGGCGGCCAACUAAGUCAGACGUGAAAUCCCUCAGCUUAACUGGGGAACUGCGUCUGAUACUGGAUGGCUUGGAUUUGGGAGAGGGACGCGGAAUUCCAGGUGUAGCGGUGAAAUGCGUAGAUAUUGGGAGGAACACCGGUGGCGAAGGCGGCUACCUGGACCGGUUCUGACGCUGAUGCGCGAAAGCGUGGGUAGCAAACAGG